GCCGCCUUGGCUAAGUGGUAAAGCGUUGCACUUGUAAUGCAAAGACCAGUCGUUCGAUCCGGCUAGGCGGCA
rnacentral:tRNA from 1 species